rnacentral:tRNA from 1 species
GAGGGGUGGUUUAACCAACAAGAACUGCUAACUCUUGCAUCUGAGCAUAAAACCUCAGCCCCCUUG